rnacentral:rRNA from 1 species
UACGUAGGGGGCAAGCGUUGUCCGGAUUUAUUGGGCGUAAAGAGCGUGUAGGCGGUCAGGUAGGUCCGUUGUGAAAACUCGAGGCUCAACCUCGAGACGCCGAUGGAAACCAUCUGACUAGAGUCCGGAAGAGGAGAGUGGAAUUCCCGGUGUAGCGGUGAAAUGCGCAGAUAUCGGGAAGAACACCCGUGGCGAAGGCGGCUCUCUGGAACGCAACUGACGCUGAGACGCGAAAGCGUGGGGAGCAAACAGG